CAGCAGCCACGGGAAUACGUAGGUGGCAAGCGUUGUCCGGAAUUAUUGGGCGUAAAGGGCUCGCAGGCGGUUUCUUAAGUCUGAUGUGAAAGCCCCCGGCUCAACCGGGGAGGGUCGUUGGAAACUGGGAAACUUGAGUGCAGAAGAGGAGAGUGGAAUUCCACGCGUAGCGGUGAAAUGCGUAGAGAUGUGGAGGAACACCAGUGGCGAAGGCGACUCUCUGGUCUGUAACUGACGCUGAGGAGCGAAAGCGUGGGGAGCGAACAGGAUUAGAUACCCCUGUAGUCCCUGUCUCUUAUAC
rnacentral:rRNA from 1 species